GACGAACGCUGGCGGCGUGCUUAACACAUGCAAGUCGAACGGAAAGGCCCCCACCUUGGUGGGGGUGCUCGAGUGGCGAACGGGUGAGUAACACGUGGGUGAUCUGCCUUGUACUUCGGGAUAAGCUUGGGAAACUGGGGCUAAUACCGGAUAGGACCAUGGUUUAGUGUCUCAUGGUGGAAAAAUUAUUGUUUUGGUGCCGGAUGAGCUCGCGCCCUCUCAGCUAGGUGGUGGGGUAGUGGCUUACCAAGCCACCGAUGGGUGGCCGACCUGCGAGGGUGAUCGGCCGGACUGGAAGUGAGACACGGUCGAGACUCAUACGGGAGGGAGCAGUAGGGAGUCUUCCGCACUGGGCGAAAGCCUGACGGAGCAACGCAGCGUGAGUGAUGAAGGUCUUCGGAUCGUAAAACUCUGUUAUUAGGGAAGAACAAAUGUGUAAGUAACUAUGCACGUCUUGACGGUACUUAAUCAGAAAGCCACGGCUAACUACGUG
rnacentral:rRNA from 1 species